rnacentral:rRNA from 1 species
AGAUUGAACGCUGGCGGCAUGCCUAACACAUGCAAGUCGAACGGGAGUAGCAAUACUCUAGUGGCGGACGGGUGAGGAAUACGUAGGAAUUUGCCCUUAAGUGGGGGAUAACCCGGGGAACCCGGAUUAAUACCGCAUGACCUCGAAAGAGCAAAGUGGGGGAUCGCAAGACCUCACGCUUUUGGAGAAGCCUACGUCGGAUUAGCUAGUUGGUGAGGGUAAUGGCUACACCAAAGGCACGAUCCCGUAACUGGUCUGAGAGGAUGAUCAGUCACACCGGACUGAGACACGGUCCCGACUCCGUACGGGACGGCGA